CCUUACCAGUCUGAAUGUUCCAAGGAGGCAAAAUGGCGGACUUUAACUGUUGACAUGACCUCCUUGGAACAUUCAGUCUGGUAAGGGAAAAGAAUUAAACAUCAAAUCUUCCCUCAGGGACUCCAGAUAAGAGCCCAGGCCAAAGGACACCUUGAUUUUGACCUUGUCAGACCUGGAGUUGAAAAACCAGCUGCACUCUUCUAGAAUUCUUACUUACAAAACUGGAGAUGUUACAAGACAAGAUGAUUUCACUGGGAGCUGAGUUUUGCCAGAUUUGGGGAAAUACUGAUGCAGAACAUCAUUUAUUUAAGGCUGAUACUCAUGGAUAGAAGAGUCAAAGUGAGAAUAUAUGCACCCUUCUAUAUGGAUUCUGCAGAAAGAUAUGCUUGGGUCAUGACUCAGGUGAAUUUCCUAUGAAACUUUGUCUUUGGUAAAGCAUCCCAUUCUUGGCUGUUCCAUAUAUAUAUAUAUGAUGCUUGGGUCACCGAAGAAC
rnacentral:lncRNA from 1 species